AUCCAGUUGACGAGUCCCAAAAUAGGAUGAAACUCAAGUCUUGGAU
rnacentral:hammerhead_ribozyme from 1 species